GUCCUAGCCGUAAACGAUGAAUACUAGAUGUUGGGGGAGUCAAUCUUUCCAGCGUCGUCGCUAACGCAUUAAGUAUUCCGCCUGGGAAGUACGCCCGCAAGGGUGAAACUCAAAGGAAUUGACGGGGGCCCGCACAAGCGGUGGAGCAUGUGCUUUAAUUCGAUGCAACGCGAAGAACCUUACCUGGGCUUGACAUGGGAGUGAAAGUUUCCAGAGAUGGGAGCCUUUCCGCAAGGAACACUCUACACAGGUGCUGCAUGGUUGUCGU
rnacentral:rRNA from 1 species